rnacentral:rRNA from 1 species
UACGUAGGGGGCAAGCGUUGUCCGGAUUUAUUGGGCGUAAAGAGCGUGUAGGCGGCCAAGCAGGUCAGCUGUGAAAACUCGAGGCUCAACCUCGAGACGUCGGUUGAAACCGCUUGGCUAGAGUCCGGAAGAGGAGAGUGGAAUUCCCGGUGUAGCGGCGAAAUGCGCAGAUAUCGGGAAGAACACCCGUGGCGAAGGCGGCUCUCUGGGACGGUACUGACGCUGAGACGCGAAAGCGUGGGGAGCGAACAGG